rnacentral:rRNA from 1 species
UACGGGGGGGCAAGCGUUGUUCGGAAUUACUGGGCGUAAGGGCUCGUAGGCGGCCAACUAAGUCAGACGUGAAAUCCCUCGGCUUAACCGGGGAACUGCGGUCUGAUACUGGAUGGCUUGAGUUUGGGAGAGGGAUGCGGAAUUCCAGGUGUAGCGGUGAAAUGCGUAGAUAUCAGGAGGAACACCCAUGGCGAAGGCGGCAUCCUGGACC